CAAAAAAAAAUGUUGAUGGUGAAGCGGCAGUGCAUAUGUUGCCAAUAGAGAAAGGUGAUGAUUUUUUUUGCAAAAUUGCAAUCCUCCAAUCAUGUUCGGACACGUGGCAAGGAAAAAUUAAAACAAAAGUAACACACCAUAUCCAUCUUUGUAUCUCUGCAGGAACAUAAAGAAAAAGCAAACAAAAUGCCAACACCUUCCUUUCAAAGCUUUUAACGCACAUUCAAG
rnacentral:lncRNA from 1 species